AAUUGGCAUGCCGCAUGUAAGUGUCUGCGGAUGAUUAUAUUGAGAUGGACUGCCUGAACCUUAAACGAAGUGACAGUAUGUGUACUCUGUCAAACUUCCACACGAUGGAAUACUGUACAGAAUAUUUAAAGAUGUCAGCGGGAGAGAAGGACAGUCGUGAUUCUCCCCCCUCAGCAGCUGCCUUUAAGACGUGAGGUCAUGAGGAUGGAGGUGGACUCAGCCUCUCAAGGUUAAGAGGUCGUCUGGACGGUCAGCCACUGCUCUCAAUGCUGGAAAAAGGCUCAGACAUGGACAUUAUGUCAUCAGUCAUGUCAGUGGUUCAUCAUCUCGUAACAGGGUGAACGGCACUUCUGCAUUCGCUUCGCAGCCCUAUAACAGCACUAUAUGCCAGCAGGAGAGAAGGACAGUUCCACCAGCAGCUGUCUUGAAGAAGCCGGUUGCUCAGGACAUGUGGACGUGGGCAAAGAGAGAGAGAAGAUGAAGCUGAUUGCUCUCCCAGCAGCUGUCUUUAAGGGAGAAGAUGAAGCUGGUUGCUCAGGACGUGUGGAUGUGAGGCAAGAGAUGGACUCAAUAUUAAGAAGUCUUCUGAAUGCUCUCAGUCAGACUUAGACAUGGACAUUAUUUUCAGGGAAUCACAAAUGACCAAUUGUGCAAUAGUGUACGAUUUCAUAGAAACAGUAGCCUACACUAUUGCACAAUUGCUGGUCAUUAGGUACUAUUUCUAUGUAUAUAUACUGCAUGAUUGCUUGUGUGUGAGAAUGUGUGUGUGUGUGUGUGUGUGUGUGUGUGUGUGUAACAUCUCUGGACACAGAGAUUGCCCAGUGUACAAUAUAGCCAAAACACAGAAUAUUGUCCAAAAGAGCAUCACACCUUGCUGAGGGUCCCAGCACUUAAAUGAAGCACCAACAACGUAGUUGAACAUGGGACCCGUCAUGUCUGUUGUAGCCAUUGGUGGCCAUUAAUUCCAAGAAGUAACUGUCACUGGCAUGUAAGAUCUACAGUAAGCAUAAAUUCAUACAUUUAACUUGUCAUUUGUCAUUGAAAUAGGCACCUCACUUGUCACCUUUUGUACAGUCUUUUACAUCAAAUAGGCAAUACAGUACUUUCUUCAAAUGUGCCUUAGAUCCAUGCAUGCAAAUAGCAAGGCAGAAGAGAGAUGGUAUCUCUUAUGGAUAAUGAAUGAUUACUGAUUGAAGAAUUGUCCAAAGGAGCAUCAUAGAGUGACAUUACAUUUCUUUUUUUGAGUUCCACUAAAACUAUCUGAGAUACAGACGGUUACGUCUGGCAUCAUGUUUUUGUUUGUUUUUAUGUAAUUUUCGUAAUUUUAUGUUUUAUUCUGUUCAUUUUUUGUACUUAUUUGUUUAGAUUAAUGUUUUCACUCUUUAUUUACGCUAUUUUCGAUAGUCUUGUGCAAGUUGUCUAUUUGUUUGUCUGUCUUGUAUGUCUUGGUGUCACGGGUACGCUGGCGAUUACGCCACUCCGUCCGGCAUCUUUUGUCUUGUGCCAACUCUGUCUUUUGAGUGUUUGUCUGUGUUGUUUUUAUUAUUUGUUGAUUUUUGUUUGAUAUCUGUCUUUGUAUGUCUUGUGCCACGGGUACGCUGGCUAGUAAGCCGCUCCGUACGGCAUUAUCUUAUAGCGAUUUGUUAUUUUUUAAAUUUGUUUGUUUGUCUUGGUGUCACGCUUGGUGGGCACGCUGGCGACUACGCCGCUCCGUCUAGCCUCUGUUGUCUUAUGUAGGCCU